ensembl:lncRNA novel transcript, antisense to SOLH
CCGCAGGAGACCCUGAGCCCACAGGGAGGGGCAGCCUGGCCUCGGCCCCCGUCGGGUGUUGGGGCUGGCAGGUGAGCGGGGCUGGUUCACAGCCCGCCUGGUUCGAGGUAUUCUGCGUGGCGGCCAGGAGGCCUGGCCAGGCGGACUGUGGGGUUCAGGGAGGGGAAGGAGGGGGGCGGGGGGCCCAUGGGAAGCUGAGCCCUGGGCUGGCAGCUCCCUGGGCGGGGUCCUGAGAUUCUGGCUCAAGCGUCCUCUGUCGGGGUCUCCCUCAUAAAGUGCGUGUGGGGGAGGGAUCCGUGGCAGCGAGAGCCUGCGUGGGCCCCCGCAGACGGAGCAGGAGCUGGCCACGGGCGUGUUGUGCAGCGUGCAACGCGGACACGCCCAGCCCCCUCUGGGCUCCGCCGCUCCCUCCUCCUCCUCCUGCUCCUCCUUCUCCUCCUCGUCCUUGUCCUCGCACUGCCCCCUGGCGGGCUCCG